rnacentral:rRNA from 1 species
GAUGAACGCUGGCGGCGUGCCUAAUACAUGCAAGUCGAGCGAACAGACGAGGAGCUUGCUCCUCUGACGUUAGCGGCGGACGGGUGAGUAACACGUGGAUAACCUACCUAUAAGACUGGGAUAACUUCGGGAAACCGGAGCUAAUACCGGAUAAUAUAUUGAACCGCAUGGUUCAAUAGUGAAAGACGGUUUUGCUGUCACUUAUAGAUGGAUCCGCGCCGCAUUAGCUAGUUGGUAAGGUAACGGCUUACCAAGGCGACGAUGCGUAGCCGACCUGAGAGGGUGAUCGGCCACACUGGAACGGAGACACGGUCCAGACUCCAACGGGAGGAAGCAGUAGGGAAUCUUCCGAAAUGGGCGAAAGCCUGACGGAGCAACGCCGCGUGAGUGAUGAAGGUCUUCGGAUCGUAAAACUCUGUUAUUAGGGAAGAACAAAUGUGUAAGUAAAUAUGCACGUCUUGACGGUACCUAAUCAGAAAGCCACGGCUAACUACGUG